AGGGUUCAAGAGAUCCUCCUGCCUCAGCCUUCCAAGUAGCUGGGAUUACAGGUGUCUUUGUGAAGCUUCCUAUCUUUGCUUUUCAACUAAGAUGAAACAGCAUUUAAAAGAAAAUGCCAUGUGAGAUGAGAUCAGGAGAAUGGAUUCUUUCUUUCAUCUGAAUAGAGAGCUGCUGUUCGAGAUUCUAACUCAAAUAGCUCAAAGGACACCUUCUCCGGGAAACCUUCCCUGACUUCCGACGCUGUUUCCUGUUUAACUUCAGAAACUGGGGGUGUCUAAUGUCUGCAACAUAACAGGACUAUUGUAGGAAAUUCUGAGACUCUAUAAGCACUUUUAAAUGUGAAAAUUAAGAAGGCAUCCCAGAAAUGAAUGGGUCCAGUGCUCUGAUUUAAGAGUGUGUGACCUGUCGUCAUUCAUCCAGCAGACCCAAGCAGGCUUAGAGAAAACCCAUGAUGUACAUUAGAACACAGCAACUAUUUGAGUGAAAUAAGUAUUUUUAUUUAUUUCAAGAGGAAAGCAAAGUCGAAGGGUGUUCAGGGCUACAGUUUUGCUUGACCAGAUGUUGCCAAGUUUCAAAGUCAAAUCGGUUCAUCUCCUGGCUAUCAGCUAAAGGGUGUUGUAUUUGUAAGCAUUGAGAACUUCUAUCUACUGCUAUUGUAUUUUGCAUAUUUGUAUUUUCUGAGUUCUAUUUGAGAGAGACGGAAUUACGCAUUUCCAUAUGGAUCAUCCUCUUCCCUAUGUAUGUUGCUUUAUUGCCUUUUGGAAGAAAAAAAGUGAGAGUUGCAGUCUGUAUUUAGGCCAUUUCUAUGUUCUUUAUUGGGUUACGUUUGAAUGCCCAAUUUGAUCUCAAUGGCACGUCCUUUGUAACAUAAAAUAAAACAUGGUGCUCA
ensembl:lncRNA HULC hepatocellular carcinoma up-regulated long non-coding RNA